rnacentral:rRNA from 1 species
UACGAGUGCUCCAAGCGUUAUCCGGAAUCAUUGGGCGUAAAGGGUGUGUAGGUGGUUGUGUUAGUCUUUUGUUAAAUUCUUCGGCUUAACCGGGGGCAUGCAAAAGAAACGGCACGACUAGAGGAUGCGAGAGGUGAACAGAACUCAUGGAGUAGGGGUGAAAUCCGUUGAUAUCAUGGGGAAUACCAAAUGCGAAGGCAGUUCACUGGCGCACUCCUGACACUGAAACACGAAAGCGUAGGUAGCGAAUGGG